UUGAGUUAAUGGGCUCAAUUAGCCGUUCUUGUAUAAGAAAAGGAAAAAAUGUCCACCCAAAUAAAAAUAUGGAAAAACUAGCCUUUUCUAACGUAAAUGUACAAUUAUACCCUUAAUACUGUUACACACUUUUUCGCAAAAGUGUGUAAUAACAUAAAGUGUGUAACUGCGAAAAGUGUGUAACAGUGUAUUUUACACUGUUACACACUUUUUCACAAAAGUGUGUAAUAAUGUAAAAGUGUG
rnacentral:lncRNA from 1 species